GACGGGUUAGGCUUCCGGCGUGGGCCGUGUGGCGUCUCCCAGCUCCACGCGUUUCUGGGCGCCGGGCACUAGGCGAGCCGGCCGGGCUGGCGCGAGGCCGCAGGCGGGGAGAGUUCCCGGGGUCGGCCUCGAAGCAGCUCUGGAGGCGGUAGCCGGGGACGCCGCGGUCAGGGAGGAGGCCGAUCCAAGCGCGGCCCCGCAGGGCCGUGUCCGUUCUCCCGCCUCGGCCGGUCCCGUCGGGCCGCCUUUAAGUGCCCGACGCCUCGCACUUGCUAACAAAACGAGCUCCUGCUGUUCCCCAGCUCCGUAAAUGGCGCCCCUGGCCCUCCCCAGUUCUCAGGCAGAGCCUUGGCGGCCUCCCUGACCCCAACACACCGCAUCCAGCCCGGCAGUACAUCCUGUUGGCUGUGCCUUCGAAAUUUCCCCAGACCUGACCUCUUCUCCCACCUCUGCCACCACCCUGCUCCGAGCCGUCUUUUCCCGCCGAGAUGACUGCAGUAGCGUCUCAGCUGGGUCUCCCCGCUUCCACCUUCCCCUCCAGAGUCUCCUCAACACAGGAGCCAGAGUGAUCUCGGAAAGUACAGGAGGUCAUGCCCCAGUGUGGUUCCACUUUCUUGGGUUUAGGUCAAGGUCCUCACCGUGCCUGCCGGCCUCCCGGGUCUCUGCGCGGUGGACUCUGGACCUCCCUGCCCCGUACUGCCUCAGGGCCUUUGCACCUGCUGUUCCCGCGGCCUGGAACGCUCCUCCCCUGAAACCCUGUGACUCCCACUUAGUGAGGCGACCACCUAUUGAAAACCGUGCCGCCUUCCUAUACAGAUGCUCCUGUCAUAUGGGGUUAGAUUCCACAUUAACCCAUCAUAGGUUAAAGCAUUGUAAGGCAAUUUACGGUGGGUUUAUCCGAAUGUAACCCCAUCUGUAAGCGGAGGAGUAUACUGAAUGUGUAUGGCGUUUGUACCGUGGCAAAGCCAAAAUGUAAGUCAAACUCGAAGUCCA
rnacentral:lncRNA from 1 species